rnacentral:sRNA from 1 species
UAUGUGAUUAUUUUACCUAAGACAGUAGGAGUUAUUCGUAACUUAAAAAUCAUCCUACCGAGGCUAAAAUUGACUUGAACGUGAAGAUUAAACUUUCAAGCACUUUUUGCCGUGGGUAGAAAGUGCUUUUUUUAUUGAU